UACGUAGGGUGCGAGCGUUAAUCGGAAUUACUGGGCGUAAAGCGUGCGUAGACGGUCAAGUAAGUCGGGUGUGAAAGCCCCGGGCUCAACCUGGGAACCGCGCUUGAGACUGGCAUGCUCGAGUUCGGGAGAGGAUGGUGGAAUUCCCAGUGUAGAGGUGAAAUUCGUAGAUAUUGGGAAGAACACCGAUGGCGAAGGCAGCCAUCUGGACCGACACUGACGCUGAGGCGCGAAAAGCGUGGGGAGCAAACAGG
rnacentral:rRNA from 1 species